rnacentral:rRNA from 1 species
UAGGGAAUCUUCGUCAAUGGGGGGAACCCUGACCGAGCAACGCCGCGUGAGUGAAGAAGGUUUUCGGAUCGUAAAGCUCUGUUGUUAAGGAAGAACGAGUGUGAGAAUGGAAAGUUCAUACUGUGACGGUACUUAACCAGAAAGGGACGGCUAACUACGUGCCAGCAGCCGCGGUAAUACGUAGGUCCCGAGCGUUGUCCGGAUUUAUUGGGCGUAAAGCGAGCGCAGGCGGUUAGAAAAGUCUGAAGUGAAAGGCAGUGGCUCAACCAUUGUAGGCUUUGGAAACUGUUUAACUUGAGUGCAGAAGGGGAGAGUGGAAUUCCAUGUGUAGCGGUGAAAUGCGUAGAUAUAUGGAGGAACACCGGUGGCGAAAGCGGCUCUCUGGUCUGUAACUGACGCUGAGGCUCGAAAGCGUGGGGAGCGAACAGG